GACGAACGCUGGCGGCGUGCCUAAUACAUGCAAGUAGAACGCUGAAGCGAGGAGCUUGCUCUUCUUGGAUGAGUUGCGAACGGGUGAGUAACGCGUAGGUAACCUGCCUGGUAGCGGGGGAUAACUAUUGGAAACGAUAGCUAAUACCGCAUAAAAUGGAUUAUCGCAUGAUAAUCCAUUGAAAGGUGCAAAUGCAUCACUACCAGAUGGACCUGCGUUGUAUUAGCUAGUUGGUGGGGUAACGGCUCACCAAGGCGACGAUACAUAGCCGACCUGAGAGGGUGAUCGGCCACACUGGGACUGAGACACGGCCCAGACUCCUACGGGAGGCAGCAGUAGGGAAUCUUCGGCAAUGGACGGAAGUCUGACCGAGCAACGCCGCGUGAGUGAAGAAGGUUGUCGGAUCGUAAAGCUCUGUUGUAAGAGAAGAACGAGGGUGAGAGUGGAAAGUUCACACUGUGACGGUAUCUGACCAGAAAGGGACGGCUAACUACGUG
rnacentral:rRNA from 1 species